rnacentral:rRNA from 1 species
GAGUAACACGUAUCCAACCUGCCGUCUACUCUUGGACAGCCUUCUGAAAGGAAGAUUAAUACAAGAUGGCAUCAUGAGUCCGCAUGUUCACAUGAUUAAAGGUAUUCCGGUAGACGAUGGGGAUGCGUUCCAUUAGAUAGUAGGCGGGGUAACGGCCCACCUAGUCUUCGAUGGAUAGGGGUUCUGAGAGGAAGGUCCCCCACAUUGGAACUGAGACACGGUCCAAACUCCUACGGGAGGCAGCAGUGAGGAAUAUUGGUCAAUGGGCGCAGGCCUGAACCAGCCAAGUAGCGUGAAGGAUGACUGCCCUAUGGGUUGUAAACUUCUUUUAUAAAGGAAUAAAGUCGGGUAUGUAUACCCGUUUGCAUGUACUUUAUGAAUAAGGAUCGGCUAACUCCGUGCCAGCAGUCGCGGUAAUACGGAGGAUCCGAGCGUUAUCCGGAUUUAUUGGGUUUAAAGGGAGCGUAGAUGGAUGUUUAAGUCAGUUGUGAAAGUUUGCGGCUCAACCGUAAAAUUGCAGUUGAUACUGGAUAUCUUGAGUGCAGUUGAGGCAGGCGGAAUUCGUGGUGUAGCGGUGAAAUGCUUAGAUAUCACGAAGAACUCCGAUUGCGAAGGCAGCCUGCUAAGCUGCAAUUGACAUUGAGGCUCGAAAGUGUGGGUAUCAAACAGGAUUAGAUACCCUGGUAGUCCACACGGUAAACGAUGAAUACUCGCUGUUUGCGAUAUACAGCAAGCGGCCAAG